CAGUAGCCGCGGGAAUACGAAGGGGGCUAGCGUUGCUCGGAAUGACUGGGCGUAAAGGGCGCGUAGGCGGUGCGGAUAGUCAGAUGUGAAAUUCCUGGGCUUAACCUGGGGGCUGCAUCUGAUACAUCCGCGCUUGAGUGUGGAAGAGGGUCGUGGAAUUCCCAGUGUAGAGGUGAAAUUCGUAGAUAUUGGGAAGAACACCGGUGGCGAAGGCGGCGACCUGGUCCAUUUCUGACGCUGAUGCACGAAAGCUAGGGGAGCAAACAGGAUUAGAUACCCCUGUAGUCCCUGUCUCUUAUAC
rnacentral:rRNA from 1 species